UACGUAGGGUGCGAGCGUUAAUCGGAAUUACUGGGCGUAAAGCGUGCGCAGGCGGUUCGUUGUGUCGGUGGUGAAAUCCCCGGGCUUAACCUGGGAAUGGCCAUGGAAACUGGCGAACUGGAGUGCGGCAGAGGGGGGUGGAAUUCCGCGUGUAGCAGUGAAAUUCGUAGAUAUUCGCAAGAACACCAGUGGCGAAGGCGGCUCACUGGCCCGAUACUGACGCUGAGGCACGAAAGCGUGGGGAGCAAACAGG
rnacentral:rRNA from 1 species